AUUGAACGCUGGCGGCAGGCCUAACACAUGCAAGUCGAGCGGAUGAAGGGAGCUUGCGCCUGGAUUCAGCGGCGGACGGGUGAGUAAUGCCUAGGAAUCUGCCUGGUAGUGGGGGAUAACGUCCGGUAACGGGCGCUAAUACCGCAUACGUCCUGAGGGUGAAAGUGGGGGAUCUUCGGACCUCACGCUAUCAGAUGAGCCUAGGUCGGAUUAGCUAGUUGGUGGGGUAAAGGCCUACCAAGGCGACGAUCCGUAACUGGUCUGAGAGGAUGAUCAGUCACACUGGAACUGAGACACGGUCCAGACUCCUACGGGAGGCAGCAGUGGGGAAUAUUGGACAAUGGGCGAAAGCCUGAUCCAGCCAUGCCGCGUGUGUGAAGAAGGUCUUCGGAUUGUAAAGCACUUUAAGUUGGGAGGAAGGGCAGUAAGUUAAUACCUUGCUGUUUUGACGUUACCAACAGAAUAAGCACCGGCUAACUUCGUG
rnacentral:rRNA from 1 species